rnacentral:tRNA from 1 species
GGGCCCGUGGUCUAGCCUGGCAAUGACGUCGGCCUUACGAGCCGAAGGUCCGGGGUUCAAAUCCCCGCGGGCCCACCA